rnacentral:rRNA from 1 species
CCUACGGGAGGCAGCAGUGGGGAAUAUUGCACAAUGGGGGCAACCCUGAUGCAGCGACGCCGCGUGAGUGAAGAAGUACUUCGUUAUGUAAAGCUCUAUCAGCAGGGAAGAAAAUGACGGUACCUGUGUAAGAAGCCCCGGCUAACCCCGUGCCAGCAGCCGCGGUAAUACGGAGGGGGCAAGCGUGAUCCGGAUUUACUGGGUGUAAAGGGAGCGUAGACGGCUGUGCAAGUCUGGAGUGAAAGGCGGGGGCUCAACCCCCGGACUGCUCUGGAUACUGUACGGCUGGAGUGCAGGAGAGGUAAGUGGAAUUCCUAGUGUAGCGGUGAAAUGCGUAGAGAUUAGGAGGAACACCAGUGGCGAAGGCGGCUUACUGGACUGUAACUGACGUUGAGGCCCGAAAGCGUGGGGAGCAAACAGGAUUAGAUACCCUAGUAGUC